GAAAUUUAACGGAUUUGGCGGCAAGAUAGCCCCUUAGAGGAACCUGCCCUGUAAACGAUGAACCACGAGGGACUUUACUUUCUUUGGUAGUCAGUUUGUAUAUCGCUGUUGUCAGUUAGAUUCUUGAGAAUAUUUUCGUUUAUGAAAAGUUCAUUGACUUCAAGUAAAGGUGCAGCUUAUAAGGAAGAUAGAGGUGGGUUACAUUUAUGAGAAUAAAACGGAAAGGAUGGAUGAAACAAUCCUUGAAGGUGGAUUUAACUGUAAAACUUAAGUAGGUUUGGUGAGAGCUCUAUCUUGUGUACACAC
rnacentral:rRNA from 1 species